rnacentral:misc_RNA from 1 species
GCAAACUUGGUCAUUUAGAGGAAGUAAAAGUCGUAACAAGGUUUCCGUAGGUGAACCUGCGGAAGGAUCAUUAACGAGUUAGGGUCUUCUAGGCCCGACCUCCCAACCCUUUGUUUACUGAACCAUUGUUGCUUCGGUGGGUCCGUCUUACGACCGCCGGGGGAUCGCCGCGAGGCGCCCCCUGGCCAGCGCCCACCGAUAGCCCAACCUUCAAAACCCUUUAUGAAUCGUGUCUUAUGUCUAAAUUUAUGAUUAAACAAUCAAAACAAAACUUUCAACAACGGAUCUCUUGGUUCUGGCAUCGAUGAAGAACGCAGC